AUGAGCAAAGCGCUGAGCCCCCGCUACCAAGGCCUCUCAACCUAUGAGAAAGAAUACUUAGCAGUCAUCGUGGCCGUGGACCAGUGGCGCCCCUACCUUCAACAUGCAGAAUUCACUAUCCUCACAGACCAGCGUAGCUUGACACACCUGACAGAACAGAGGCUGACAACGCCGUGGCAGCAACGAGCUUUCACCAAAUUGUUGGGGCUUCAGUACACCAUCAAAUACAAGAAGGGGGCAGAGAACACAGCAGCUGAUGCAUUGUCAAGAACCAACACAGAAGAAGUGCUACACACUCUUAGCGUGUGCCAACCAGCUUGGUUAGAUGACAUCGUCAACAGCUACAAUACCAACCCGCAGGCGCAGUGA
rnacentral:rRNA from 1 species